UGGGGAAUAUUGCACAAUGGAGGGAACUCUGAUGCAGCGACGCCGCGUGAACGAAGAAGGCUUUCGAGUCGUAAAGUUCUUUUAUAUGGGAAGAUAAUGACGGUACCAUAAGAAAAAGCCCCGGCUAACUACGUGCCAGCAGCCGCGGUAAUACGUAGGGGGCUAGCGUUGUCCGGAAUCACUGGGCGUAAAGGGUUCGCAGGCGGAAAUGUAAGUCAGGUGUAAAAGGCAGUAGCUUAACUACUGUAAGCAUUUGAAACUGCAUAUCUUGAGAAGAGUAGAGGUAAGUGGAAUUUUUAGUGUAGCGGUGAAAUGCGUAGAUAUUAAAAAGAAUACCGGUGGCGAAGGCGGCUUACUGGGCUCAUUCUGACGCUGAGGAACGAAAGCGUGGGUAGCAAACAGG
rnacentral:rRNA from 1 species